GGCGAUACGGNCACGACUAGAGUGCUGUAGGGGUAACUGGAAUUCCUGGUGUAGCGGUGAAAUGCGCAGAUAUCAGGAGGAACACCGAUGGCGAAGGCAGGUUACUGGGCAGUUACUGACGCUGAGGAGCGAAAGCAUGGGGAGCGAACAGGAUUAGAUACCCUGGUAGUCCAUGCUGUAAACGGUGGGCGCUAGGUGUGGGCUGUGUGUUUGCAGUCUGUGCCGUAGCUAACGCAUUAAGCGCCCCGCCUGGGGAGUACGGCCGCAAGGCUAAAACUCAAAGGAAUUGACGGGGGCCCGCACAAGCGGCGGAGCAUGUGGAUUAAUUCGAUGCAACGCGUAGAACCUUACCUGGGUUUGACAUGCACCAGAUCGGCGUAGAGAUACGUCUUCCCUUGUGGUUGGUGCACAGGUGGUGCAUGGUUGUCGUCAGCUCGUGUCGUGAGAUGUUGGGUUAAGUCCCGCAACGAGCGCAACCCUUGUCUUAUGUUGCCAGCACAUUUUUGGUGGGGACUCAUGAGAAACUGCCGGGGUCAACUCGGAGGAAGGUGGGGAUGACGUCAAAUCAUCAUGCCCUUUAUACCCAGGGCUUCACACAUGCUACAAUGGUCGGUACAACGGGUUGCGACACUGUGAAGUGAAGCUAAUCUCUUAAAGCCGGCCUCAGUUCGGAUUGGGGUCUGCAACUCGACCCCAUGAAGUCGGAGUCGCUAGUAAUCGCAGAUCAGCAACGCUGCGGUGAAUACGUUCCCGGGCCUUGUACACACCGCCCGUCACGUCAUGAAAGUUGGUAACACCCGAAGCCCAUGGCCUAACCACCGUUUGUGGUGGGGGGAGU
rnacentral:rRNA from 1 species